GCUGGGAGAUAAGAGCACUACAACACAAAUCAGUGCAAGAAAAUAAAAGAGAAGGAAAAGAAUGUGGAGUAAGAAAGAGGAGCUCUCUGUAAAGAAGAAUCUAAUUUUAUUUUGAUUAAAUAGUUCUUAAGUACAAGAGAAUGAAGAAAAGAUGCAAAAAAAAAAGAGAAGAAUACAAAAUUAGAGGUUUCAGACCUCUGGAGCAGAAGUGGAGGAGCUCGAUGGCCCCAG
rnacentral:lncRNA from 1 species